GACGAACGCUGGCGGCGUGCUUAACACAUGCAAGUCGAACGGAAAGGCCUGCUUUCCCUUGUGGAUUGCGGGUACUCGAGUGGCGAACGGGUGAGUAACACGCGAGUGAUCUGCCCCCAACUUGGGUAUAAGCCUGGGAAACGGGGUCUAAUUCCCGAUAGGACGGCAGGGUGGUGCCUGUGGUGGAAAACGAUUUUCUAGUGGUUGGGGAUGAGCUCGCGGCCUAUCAGCUUGUUGGUGGGGUAAUGGCCUACCAAGGCGGCGACGGGUAGCCGGCCUGGGAGGGUGCACGGCCACAUUGAGACUGAGAUACGGCCCAGACUCCUACGGGAGGCAGCAGUGGGGAAUAUUGCACCAUGGGCGGAAGCCUGAUGCAGCGACGCCGCGUGGGGGAUGACGGCCUUCGGGUUGUAAACUCCUUUCGACCGCGAGGAAGCCACCUGGUUGGAAGGGUGGUGACGGUAGUGGUAGAAGAAGCACCGGCUAACUACGUG
rnacentral:rRNA from 1 species